rnacentral:rRNA from 1 species
GACGAACGCUGGCGGCGUGCUUAACACAUGCAAGUCGAACGGUGAAGCGCCUUCCUUUUUGGUGGGUGUGGAUGAGUGGCGAACGGGUGAGUAACACGUGAGUAACCUGCCCCCUUCUUCUGGAUAACCGCAUGAAAGUGUGGCUAAUACGGGAUAUUCUGGGUCUGUCGCAUGAUGGGUCUGGGAAAGAUAUUGUUUCGGUGGGGGAUGGGCUCGCGGCCUAUCAGCUUGUUGGUGGGGUGAUGGCCUACCAAGGCGGUGACGGGUAGCCGGCCUGAGAGGGUGGACGGUCACACUGGGACUGAGGCACGGCCCAGACUCCUACGGGAGGCAGCAGUGGGGAAUAUUGCACAAUGGGCGCAAGCCUGAUGCAGCGACGCCGCGUGAGGGAUGGAGGCCUUCGGGUUGUGAACCUCUUUCGCCAGUGAAGCAGGCCUGCCUCGUUUGUGGGUGGGUUGACGGUAGCUGGAUAAGAAGCGCCGGCCAACUACGUG